rnacentral:rRNA from 1 species
AGAACGAACGCUGGCGGCAGGCUUAACACAUGCAAGUCGAACGCUCGUAGCAAUACGGGAGUGGCAGACGGGUGAGUAACGCGUGGGAACAUACCCUCCGGUUCGGAAUAGCUCAGGGAAACUUGGAUUAAUACCGGAUACGGCCGAGAGGCGAAAGAUUUAUCGCCGGAGGAUUGGCCCGCGUUCGAUUAGCUAGUUGGUGAGGUAACGGCUCACCAAGGCGAUGAUCGAUAGCUGGUCUGAGAGGAUGAUCAGCCACAUUGGGACUGAGACACGGCCCAAACUCCUACGGGAGGCAGCAGUGGGGAAUAUUGGACAAUGGGCGCAAGCCUGAUCCAGCCAUGCCGCGUGAGUGAUGACGGCCUUAGGGUUGUAAAGCUCUUUCGCUCGGGACGAUAAUGACGGUACCGAGAUAAGAAGCCCGGCUACUUCGCGCCAGCAGCCGC